UACGGAGGGUGCAAGCGUUAAUCGGAAUUACUGGGCGUAAAGCGUGCGCAGGCGGUUUGUUAAGUCCGUUGUGAAAGCCCCGAGCUCAACUUGGGAAUUGCAGUGGAUACUGGCAGGCUGGAGUACGGUAGAGGAAGGUGGAAUUCCCGGUGUAGCAGUGAAAUGCGUAGAUAUCGGGAGGAACACCAGUGGCGAAGGCGGCCUUCUGGACCAGUACUGACGCUCAUGCACGAAAGCUAGGGGAGCGUAUGGG
rnacentral:rRNA from 1 species